GCGGACGGGUGAGUAACACGUGGGUAACCUACCUAUAAGACUGGAAUAACUCCGGGAAACCGGGGCUAAUGCCGGAUAACAUAUCGAACCGCAUGGUUCGAUAGUGAAAGACGGUCUUGCUGUCACUUAUAGAUGGACCCGCGCCGUAUUAGCUAGUUGGUGAGGUAACGGCUCACCAAGGCAACGAUACGUAGCCGACCUGAGAGGGUGAUCGGCCACACUGGAACUGAGACACGGUCCAGACUCCUACGGGAGGCAGCAGUAGGGAAUCUUCCGCAAUGGGCGAAAGCCUGACGGAGCAACGCCGCGUGAGUGAUGAAGGUCUUCGGAUCGUAAAGCUCUGUUGUUAGGGAAGAACAAAUGUGUAAGUAACUAUGCACAUCUUGACGGUACCUAACCAGAAAGCCACGGCUAACUACGUGCCAGCAGCCGCGGUAAUACGUAGGUGGCAAGCGUUAUCCGGAAUUAUUGGGCGUAAAGCGCGCGUAGGCGGUUUUUUAAGUCUGAUGUGAAAGCCCACGGCUCAACCGUGGAGGGUCAUUGGAAACUGGAAAACUUGAGUGCAGAAGAGGAAAGUGGAAUUCCAUGUGUAGCGGUGAAAUGCGCAGAGAUAUGGAGGAACACCAGUGGCGAAGGCGGCUUUCUGGUCUGUAACUGACGCUGAUGUGCGAAAGCGUGGGGAUCAAACAGGAUUAGAUACCCUGGUAGUCCACGCCGUAAACGAUGAGUGCUAAGUGUUAGGGGGUUUCCGCCCCUUAGUGCUGCAGCUAACGCAUUAAGCACU
rnacentral:rRNA from 1 species